rnacentral:lncRNA from 1 species
GUGAGUUUUCCAGCACACCAGGCGGAAGUGGCCUGAGCUUUUAGGAUUUACCAUCAAGUCAUUGUGUCACUUCCUAUGGACCCUAUGUGAUGGUUAAUAUUGAUUGUCAACUUGAUUGGAUUGAAGGAUGCAAAGUAUUGUUCCUGGGUGUGUCUGUGAGGGUGUUGCCAAAGGAGAUUUGAAUCAUUUGAGUCAGUGGACUGGGAGAGGCAGACCCACCCUCAAUCUGCCAGCAUGGCUAGGCUAGAAUAAAGCAGGCAGAAGAAGGUAAAGGAGCAGACUUGCUGAGUCCUCCGGCCUUCAUCUUUCUCCUGUGCUGGAUGCUUCCCGCCCUCGAACAUCAGAUUCCAAGUUCUUCAGCUUUUGGACUCUUGGACUCUGGACUUACGCCAGUGAUUUGCCAGGGACUCUCAGGCCUGGCAAGACUCUCAGGCAGACCGAAGGCUGCGUCGUCGGCUUCCCUACUUUUGAAGUUUUGGGAUUCAGACUGGCUUCCUUGUUCCUCAGCUAGCAGAUGGCCUGUUGUGGGACUUCACCUUAGUUUUUUUUGUUUCGUUUUGUUUUGUUUUUGAGACAAGGUCUCACUCUGUCGCCCAGGCUGGAGUGCAAUGGCUCAAUCUUGGCUCACUGCAACCUCCGCCUCCCAGGCUCAAGCAAUUCUCCUGCCUCAGCCUCCUGAGUAGCUGGGACUACAGGAACACACCACCACGCCUGGCUAAAAGGGACUUCACCUUGUGAUCAUGGUGUACCAAUGAUCUGUCAAGUGAUGCGACACUAGAAUCAGGCUGGAAUUUGGCGUCUUACGGCUACAAAAGUGUUUCAUCAGUCUUCAGGUCUCUGUGCUGAUGUUAAUGCUGGUCAGCUGUGCCUGAAUUCCAACGGGAGGAAGGAAAGAUGAUGUGCAGAGACACAGGGAGAAGACGGCCAUCCACAAGCCAAGGCGAGAGGCCUGGACAGAUCUUUCCCUCACAGUCCUCGGAAAGAACCAAUCCUUUGAACUUCUUGAUUGUGGACUUCUAGGCUCCGGAAGUGUGAGAGAGGACAAAGGAGCACAUGCUCAAAAAGAAGUAGAUUGGGAGUGCCUGCGGACCCAGAGACUGACCAUCAAAGAAGACAGGAAAGUUAAGGCUCAGAGUGGCCAAGUGACUUCCUCAUGACAUUUCAGCAUUGACUUGUGGCCUCCCAAUCACAAACCUGGACCCUGUGAAUACCAAAAUCUGGGGAUACUCAAGUCCCUUAUAUAAAAUGGUAUAAUGGUGCAUAGCCCAUGCACAUAAUCUCUAGAUUACUUAUAAUAUCUAAUACAAUGUAAGUGGUAUGUAAAUAGUAGUUAUACUUUAUUGAUUUUUAUUUGUAUUUUUAGCUGUUGUAUUGUUAUUGUUUUUUAUUCCCAAAUAUUUCCCAUCUGCCAUUGGUUGAAUACAGGAUGCAGAACUGGAGGAUAUGAAGGGCUGAGUGUAGUUAGUAAAUUCAUAGAUAAGGAUCUUUCUUAUCAGAAUCAAAUAAAUGCAAAUUAAAAAACAAAAAUGUAAUGUCUUAGCUACUGAAUUUAUUUUCCCUAAAAUUAACAAUACCUAAUACUAGAAGCAGCAUCUUCAAAACUGGUUGUUGGUCUAGGAGACUGUGGUUAAAUUUCUUUUUUAGUCUUGAAGGCUUCAUAAUGCCCACAAUAUAUUUAUUUUCUCUCGUCUUUGGGAAAAGAAAAUCUGUGACUUUUCCUAUUAUUCUGAAGUAACUCCCACAAAGACUUCAAUGCACCUUCCUCAGAAAGACAAAUUUUGCAUCAUUGCAACAAUAAGUAUUUAUACUUUGUAAGGCUUGCAAACUUCCAUUGAGAAAGCAUUGCUCAAAAUAUUUGCCAGUUUGCGGUUUAAUGACACCUCAAGUGACAUUAUGUCUUUGCUGUCACUCACAUUUCCUAGAAGAAUUUUUAAGGGAUGGAAAGAAAUCCUCCAGGUUGUAAUAGAACCCCAGUUUUGAGGGGUUUAUUAUUUUGGACCUACAAAAUAAUUAUAAUCAGACAGCUUAAAUCAGUGUGGUAAUAUUUGCGUGCUGUACUGUAAUACUGUUUUGCAUAAAGAAUAAAGGGACAAUGAAAUAACACUUUGAUUGUUUUUUCUAAUACUUGAAAUUUUAAAAUAUUUGCUUCAUUGUGUAUUUUUCAAAAUGCAGACAUUAGGCCUGGCUUAAACAGUGAUCCUGUUUUGGUAGGCAUUCAAUAAUAUUGCACGUGGCACCAUCCUUUGGAAAAUUGUUUUAUGUAUCAAUAACUUAAAAAUAUUAUGGGCUAGGUGUAGUGGCUCACGCCUGUAAU